UCACCUUUGUAACCAAACAAACGAGGUCUCUAUGCACCCGUCAAAGACACCACACCAUCGCCAAAAAGAGGAGGAACCACAGAUGGAGAGAGAGACGGUGCUGAAUGAUGUUCGAACUGAUUUUGGAGAGAGAAAUAUAUAUGUAUGUGUAUGUAUUAAAUUAUAAUAAUAUGCUUUGAAGGUGAUCAAUUGUGAAGACGGAUUGAAAAAUCCUUCAACAGAGAGCGUAUCAACGAUAAUUCAUGUGACUGCCCUGAGGGCGCCGAUGAGCCUGCUAUGAUCACUGGAUGAACUAAACAUGACUGCUAAUGCUUGCUGGUUUUGAUUUCAUCAUAACACACAUGGUUCCCCAUCCUUGUAUUAACCCUGCAAUUUACAAGAUGUCGACUCCAGUGUCAAAAAUUGGUGCUUCUCUUUAUCAUUUUCGCAACUCUUUCUUCCAAUUUUCUUCCAUUCGUUUGAUCACUUCAUUGCACACACUUGAAGAAUCUGUCAGAGCAGCAGUUGAAGCCAAAACAUACCAGGAAAUUCCUGAGCUUCUCAUUGCCUCAAAAGGUUCUUUUCAACACCCAAAUCCAUUCUCAUUCCUCUCCACCUUUACCCAGCACCUCAGAACCCAAAUCAUUGAUGAAAUUUUACAAUCUUUUAUCCUUCUCAGACCCCGGUCACAUGGUAAAGUUGCCUAUUCCUGCCUCCUCUCCUACACCUUACAAAGCCCUAACCCUCUUCCUCUUGCUCUUGCCAUUCUUCAGCGCACUCUACGAGCCGGCUGCAUCCCUGUUCCCCAAACUCUUCUUCUUCUUUCUGCUGCAUGGCUUGACCGGCGCCAUUCCCAAUCUGUCUCAAACAUACUAUUGGAGAUGCAGUCAAUUGGUUAUCGCCCUGAUAGUGGCAUUUGCAAUUACCUUAUUUCAUCACUCUGCGCUGUUGAUCAGUUGAAUGAGGCAGUUAAAGUCUUGAAGGGCAUGAGUGGUGCAGGAUGUGUUCCUGACUUGGAAAGUUAUGAUGCUGUGAUUGGUGCAAUGUGUGCAGUCAGAAAGACCACUGAUGCGGCAGAAAAGAUGAAAGAAAUGGUGGCAAAAAUUGGAUUGACGCCACGGCAGGAAACGAUUGUGAAAGUAGUCUCUACAAUGCGGGCAAACAAAGAUAUUUGGAGAGCAGUUGAGAUGAUUGACUUUUUGGAGAAGGCAGGGUUCCCUGUGGGGUUUGAAAGCUACGAGUUAGUGGUUGAAGGGUGCUUAGAGUGUGGCGAGUUUGUUUUGGCAGGGAAGGUUGUAAUGGCGAUGACAAGAAGAGGGUUUAUACCAUAUAUUAAGGCACGGCAGAAGGUAGUUGAGGGGCUGGCUAGUGUUGGUGAACAGGAGCUUUCCUCUGCUGUGAGGCAGAAGUUUGUAGAAUUGAAAUCUUAGCUUCUUGAAAAUCAUUUGGGUGGUGUGAUUAUUGUGAGAAGCAUUUAAUGUUACCGUCCUUCCCAAGCUGUGCAAUGUAUGUCAUUUGGUGAGUGUUCAAUGUUCAUCAUUUUUCAACAUCACAACCAAAGAGGAGAUGGGAUCAAUAUUCCAUUAUUUAAUUGACCUUCUGUGGUAGAAUGACGUUGCAUUGGUCAAUUUUCUUAUGAAGUGGUGACUGAGACUACAAGGAGCUGUUUAGCCUGUAGUUGUUAGAGAUUGGACUCCAGCAUGCACCUUUCUUCAACAGGGACACCAAUUUGCCCGUUUUAAUCUUGGUAAGGCCUUCCACAGCUGCAGUUGCAGAGAAAGCCCAACAACUUCCUGCGAUGAAAGGUAGGUAAAUAUUAACGUCUGUCACUCUCUUGUACAUAUGCAACCUUUUAUAUUAUGACUGAACAGUGAACUCUAUAAUCUUGUUUUCUUAUGCAAUUGAGCAUUCUGCUUUAAUCCAAGUAUGAUAAUAUCUGAGUAAAAUUUAUAUUCUAUUUGGUUUUGGGGCAUGAUCUAUUUGUGUUGGAUACAACUUGACUGAAAAAUAUCUUAUAAUGACUAAGAAUUUUUCUAGUGGCCUAUUUCAGACGCCAAUUGCAAAUUGCAAUAAUUCCAUCUCUGGAAUGCUCUCUUGUUCCCUAAAGAGUGCUGAAAAUCGUACUGUAGGAACUUCUAAUACCACUGCUUGAUGUUUACCAAGUUAUUUCUCUGUAAAUCUAUACAUUAUAUCCUGAGGUGAAGAUCUUCCAAAGAUCAUGAAAAUUUUCAUAGGAGCCUAUUUCAGACUGUAACUGUGAAAAAACUUGGAUGUGAAUUAUGUAACUCCAAAAAGACCUCUUGUCCUAUGGAGCAGUCGUUAAAUCUCUUUGAAUAACAUUGUAAUUCCUUGAUGUAAUCUAAAUUUAACUUCUCUAGAACUCUAGACAUUUUAUCUAGAGGAUUAAAGAUACAAUAAUUACUGGUUGGUUUCCCUCUAAAGAUUUUUUAGCACAGUUAUAUUCCUGUUGUUUAGGGAGAAGCAUGAAAAUACUUUACCACAUUGGCCUUGAUCCUUGACUGGAGUCACAGCACCUUGCUUUCUCCAGUCCACAAUGGUCGGCAAACCCGUACUUUCCUCGUAUCCAAAUCUCAUCCCUGUAACUGAAUGACCAGUAGUCCCUAGACCCAAGUAGAUGGA